AUACUAUGCUUGUUGGGAAUCCGAUACUCGCCCCAGCACCGGAUUUUGAGAAUCCACAAUCCGUUCCGAUACCGACUGCUGUGGAUCCGGUGCCGAUUGUUGGGAUUCCGCAACGGAAACGUCAAAUCGAAUUUUUACCAUAAACCCGUCUCCUAAGCAAAAGCUAAUACAAUCACAAAAUAGAGAAAAACCAAAACAGAAAAUAUGCGGGUAAAAUAAAAUUUAUUAAAUAAAAGAAGAUUGCACCUGACUCCUCUUCUGCAACAGAAUAGCUACAAUCCGAGCCCUCUUUCUGAAUCUCUUCUACCAUUCUCUCGUCUUUUAUAAAUCUAAAGACAACUCUCUUUCUCUCUCACAUGCACCAGUGCACUAGAUGCAUGCAACCAGCCAACUCUCUCUCUGGUACUACCCACCAAAGAGCUUCAACUUUUUGGCAGUACUCCCUCUCCAAAAGCAUCCCAAAGGGUGCUUUUGUAAUGCAUCCUCUAAAACGUACGCGAAUUCUAGUCCAAUUAGAAUUCCUACUCCAAUAAAUAUUUAAAUUUAUAUAUCAUUUAUCUCCACUAGAUUUAAAUAUUUAUUCUAAUCUAGUUAGAUUCAUACUCUAAUUAAUAUUUAAAUCUUAAUUUAUCUACAAUAUAUUUAAAUAUUAAACCUAAUCCAACUAGAAUUAAUCUACAAAUUUAACCAAAUCCUAACAAUGCUAUUGCUUCUUCUUCGUAUAUAUUCAACUAU
rnacentral:lncRNA from 1 species